AUUGAACGCUGGCGGCAGGCCUAACACAUGCAAGUCGAGCGAGCGGCGGACGGGUGAGUAAUGCAUGGGGACCGACCGAUAGAGGGGGAUAACCACUGGAAACGGUGGCCAAUACCGCAUAUUGCCGGAUAACCCAUAGGGGCUUCGCUAGUUGGUAAGGUAAUGGCUUACCUAGGCGACGAUCCCUAGCUGGUCUGAGAGGAUGAUCAGCCACACUGGGACUGAGACACGGCCCAGACUCCUACGGAGGCAGCAGGGGGGAAUAUUGCACAAUGGGCGCAAGCCUGAUGCAGCCAUGCCGCGUGUAUGAAGAAGGCCCUAGGGUUGUAAAGUACUUUCAGUCGGGAGGCGUUACCGACAGAAGAAGCACCGGCUAACUCCGUGCCAGCCGCCGCGGUAAUUC
rnacentral:rRNA from 1 species